AUGAACGCUAGCGGCAGGCUUAAUACAUGCAAGUCGAACGGGAUUCGUUGUAGCAAUACGAUGAUGAGAGUGGCGCACGGGUGCGUAACGCGUAUGCAACCUACCUUUAACAGGUGAAUAGCCCCGAGAAAUCGGGAUUAAUACACCGUAACAUUGCGAAGUGGCAUCACUAUGCAAUUAAAGAUUUAUCGGUUAAAGAUGGGCAUGCGUGACAUUAGCUAGUUGGUGAGGUAACGGCUCACCAAGGCAACGAUGUCUAGGGGUCCUGAGAGGGUUAUCCCCCACACUGGUACUGAGACACGGACCAGACUCCUACGGGAGGCAGCAGUAAGGAAUAUUGGUCAAUGGGCGCAAGCCUGAACCAGCCAUGCCGCGUGCAGGAAGACGGCCCUAUGGGUUGUAAACUGCUUUUGUCAGGGAAUAAACCUAUCUACGCGUAGAUAGCUGAAGGUACCUGAAGAAUAAGCAUCGGCUAACUCCGUGCCAGCAGCCGCGGUAAUACGGAGGAUGCAAGCGUUAUCCGGAUUCAUUGGGUUUAAAGGGUGCGCAGGCGGGUUAUUAAGUCAGAGGUGAAAUCCCACAGCUCAACUGUGGAACUGCCUUUGAUACUGAUAGUCUAGAGUAUAAUUGAAGCUGGCGGAAUGUGCCAUGUAGCGGUGAAAUGCUUAGAUAUGACACAGAACACCGAUCGCGAAGGCAGCUAGCUAAGCUAUAACUGACGCUCAUGCACGAAAGCGUGGGGAUCAAACAGGAUUAGAUACCCUGGUAGUCCACGCUGUAAACGAUGAUUACUCGAUGUUGGCGAUACACAGUCAGCGUCUAAGGGAAACCAAUAAGUAAUCCACCUGGGGAGUACGAUCGCAAGAUUG
rnacentral:rRNA from 1 species